GGGCGAAUGGUCUAGGGGUAUGAUACUCCCUUCGCAUUGUCCCGAAGCUGCUUCGGGAUUCCACUUGUGACUGGGAGGGGUCCGGGGUUCAAUUCCCCGUUCGUCCA